UAUCUCUGUAGAGUCUGCAUAUCAAUAAGCGGAGGAAAAGAAACUAACAAGGAUUCCCUUAGUAACGGCGAGUGAAGCGGGAAGAGCUCAAAUUUGAAAGUCUUCAAGGUUCUACCUUGACGAAUUGUAGUUUAUAGAAGUGUUUUCUGUUAGUGAAGUCGGCUAAAAGUUCUUUGGAAUAGGACAUCAUAGAGGGUGAGAAUCCCGUAUUUGGUCAUUCUCCUAGCUGUUGUGAUACACUUUCAACGAGUCGGAUUGUUUGGGAAUGCAGUCCAAAAUGGGUGGUAAAUUUCAUCUAAAGCUAAAUAUUGGCGAGAGACCGAUAGCGAACAAGUACCGUGAGGGAAAGAUGAAAAGAACUUUGAAGAGAGAGUUAAACAGUACGUGAAAUUGUCAAAAGGGAAGCGUUUGACACCAGUGUUGUUUUUCCGAAAAUCAAUUAACGAAUGGUUUGAUUUUGAGUAGUUAUGACUUCAAUCGCUUUCUCACUUUCUUUACGAUCUUUCUUAAUGCACUUUUCGGUUAACAAGUCAACAUCAGUUUCUUUUGUUGUAAAAGGGUAUGAGGAAGGUGGCUUUCUUUUCGGAGAAAGUGUUUAUAGCCUUGUGCCUCUGCAAUCGGAGAGAUUGAGGUCUGCAGCGUAGAUCCUUCGGGGUUAGAUAGCAUUUGUGCUAAGUUAUAGCUUUUUCAUAGACAACUUGUUGACUAUGUUUAGUCUUGUAGCUUACUCGCUGACGCUAUUUUACCUACGCUUAGGAUGUUGAACGCGCACAGAGUCUC
rnacentral:rRNA from 1 species